GACGAACCGAGCGAACGUUAUUCGGAAUCACUGGGCUUAAAGGGUGCGUAGGCGGGCCCGUCAGUCAGGGGUGAAAUCCCACGGCCCAACCGUGGAAGUGCCUCUGAUACUGCGGGCCUGGAGGGGGAUAGGGGCGUGCGGAACUUCCGGUGGAGCGGUGAAAUGCGUAGAUAUCGGAAGGAACGCCGGUGGCGAAAGCGACGUACUGGACCUCUUCUGACGCUGAGGCGCGAAAGCUAGGGGAGCGAACGGG
rnacentral:rRNA from 1 species